CUGCAGCCCGAGUGGUGGUCGAUAUUAUUGAGCCUAAAGCGUCCGUAGCCGGACUAGUAAAUUCUUGGGUAAAUCGGGCAGCUUAACUGUCCGACUUCCGAGGAGACUGCUAGUCUUGGGACUGGGAGAGGUCAGAGGUACUCCAGGGGUAGGGGCUAAAUCCUGUAAUCCUUGGGGGACCACCAGUGGCGAAGGCGUCUGACUAGAACGGAUCCGACGGUAAGGGACGAAACCCUGGGGCACAAACCGGAUUAGAUACCCGAGUAGUCC
rnacentral:rRNA from 1 species